rnacentral:rRNA from 1 species
AAUCAACGCUGGCGGCGUGCCUAACACAUGCAAGUCGCACGAGAAAGGGGAGCAAUCCCUGAGUAAAGUGGCGCACGGGUGAGUAACACGUGAAUCAUCUACCUCCGAGUGGGGAAUAACUGAGAGAAAUCUUAGCUAAUACCGCAUAACACUUACGAGUCAAAGCAGCAAUGCGCUUGGAGAGGAGUUCGCGGCCGAUUAGUUAGUUGGCGGGGUAAUGGCCCACCAAGACGAUGAUCGGUAUCCGGCCUGAGAGGGCGCACGGACACACUGGAACUGAAACACGGUCCAGACUCCUACGGGAGGCAGCA